rnacentral:rRNA from 1 species
UACAGAGGGUGCGAGCGUUGUUCGGAAUCACUGGGCAUAAAGCGCACGUAGGCGGCGACGUAAGUUGGGUGUGAAAUUCCUCGGCCCAACCGAGGAACUGCGCCCAGUACUGCGUUGCUUGAGGAUCCAAGGGGUGCAUGGAAUUCCCGGUGGAGCGGUGAAAUGCGUAGAGAUGUGGAGGAACACCGAUGGCGAAGGCAGCCCCCUGGGUCAAAACUGACGCUCAUGCACGAAAGCGUGGGGAGCAAACAGG